AUUGAAAAGCAAUGGAAGUGUUGCUCUAGUACAGUAGCUGCUGCCAUAGUGAGCAUGACAGAACAAUGGCUUUCCAUCAAGACUAUAUAGAGACUGCUGGACUUGGUGAGGACUGCAUGGAGACACCCCUAACAUGAAUUGCUGCCUCUGUACCUUAUGUGAUUGCAGCUGCCAUACAGAUGUUGAUGGUUCCAACAUGAACUCCACUGGGCUGAUGAUAUCAAGGAGACUGCCUAGGGUGUGAACCAGGCCAUGGUUGGAAACCCCAAGAUGUAACUUCAUGGUAAGAUUUCAAAGCUGCAAUCCCAGGUACGCUCACCUGGGGGGCAUUCCAUUGAACCCAGAAUUCAGAGUAGAUGUACAUAGGUGCUGAGCUGCCCAGGUGAAGCUUAUCUUUCUGCAAGACCAGCAUGGCUGUAAUUUUUUCUGAAUUUGACUGUUUUAUCUUUUGUAACCUGCUUUGAGGGUGUUGUUGUUUUGUUUUUUUACCAUCAAGCACUGUAUAAAUUUUAUGAAAUAAAUAGCUAGGUAAAUAAACCAGCCAACUUACUGACUUGGGGUAAUAAUAAUAAUAAUAAUAAUAAUAAUAAUGAUAAUAAUAAUAAUGCCGAUCUCUGGAUGCAGAAUCCGAAAGAGCUAAUCUAAGGUCUGUCUCACACGUGAAUAUUCAUCACUUGAUGACUGCAAAGCUAGGUGAUGACUUAAUGUGCGGGAGUCAGAUACAGGCACACAGAAUUCUCACACGGUGUGUGUCAGUGUUGGGUCUGUUCACACUUCCAGUUCUGGCAGUGGUCAGCAUGCACGCAGAAUGGGCUCCAGCAUCCGCUUUGGUACAUAUAUGUGACAGUAGCUCCCAUUUCACAAAGAGGAUGCUCAACAACUCACUAGAUAAUAUUAUAAGCAAUUACUGCAAGGAAGUGCCAGGAUACAGCAGAGAGCGGAGGCAGACGUGCUACACAAUGGAAUUGCUGCAGGCAGAACACCGAUGCCUUUAAUCCCCCACUCGUGCCACUCCCCACAAAUGGGGAGAAUUCAUGGAAUCACAUAAUUCUUUAAUGUCCGUGUACAUGUAUCUGGUAAUCAAAGCUUGGCUGCAAUCUUGUUAUUUGGUAAAGCAAAUAGAAAGAAAGACAAUGCAUGUAAUUUCUGAAAUUCUCCCCGCUUUACUUUUUUGACCUUUGGUAUUUGUACGUUAUCGAUGCUUUCUCUAAACCAUUGUACAAAAACACCUUGAAGUGUCAAGCUUUAAAAAUGAGUCUUCUUUUCUCUUUCUCCUCUGCAGCUUGGAUUAUCUUGGCCUUGUCAAAAUACAUUCUCUAGUUAGAGGUUGGAAAUAUUUC